GUGGAGGUUUGCGUAGACCUUAGUGGUUGCGAGCACGAACGAGCAGCCAAGCUCCGAGAGCAACAGCGUGCUACUGCUGCCUGACAACGGAUUUAUGUUUCCUAUACAGCGCCUGGGAGUUUCGUGAGGAAACAUAGAUUCAAAAUAUCUGCAAAGUCAAGCCAGACAUUUAAUUUCAGAUUCUUAUAUGUUUUAGAUUUUUUUAAUUUAUUAAUAAAAUGAUCAGUUUUUAAAUGGGGUUACAUAAAUAGACGGGCGCAGCCUUUUCCUCCUUAGGGAUGUUCGAGAAGUAGGAUUGCAACAGAUAUGCUAAUACAUGAAAUUUGGAAUUAACGGAAAUUAUAAUAGCAGCACAUGAGUGUUGGAAUACCUGGAGUUAUACUAAAGAAUCCCAAGAAACAUCAUAACUUCUAGAUUCUACUAGAAUCUAAGUUAAUCAAGACAUACACUUCCAUGCACAUAUUACAAUGAAAACAGAGACAACUUAGAAGACAUCUGCAAAACACUUGCAGUGCAAACUUUCUGGAAAUUAAAGAAGACUGAAGAAGAUAUUAAAUGCCUAUUUCUUAGGAUUUUGGUCUGGAACAUUUACUUCUGCACAUAGUCUUUGUUCUGCUGAUGGCCAACUACAUUUAUGUUUCAGAAACUUUCUCCGCAACAUAGACCUCGAAAAAUGAUUCCUCGAAUCUUUACAUGGUGCUCGACUUUCCUCCAUAUGAGAAAAAUAUAGAACAAUAUUACCUCUUUUACCCUGAAGUCCAUAACUGCAUUCCAGACUCUACUUAUUUUUCCACUGUGAUGCUUUCUUUAUUGAUUACUUAUCUAACUCAACAAAUAUUUAUUAAGCGCCUUUUUUGUACCAAGUACUCUUCUGUGCAGUGGUGAUAAUCUCUGUAUAGAGGACAAACAAGACCCCUGAUCUUGUAGAAAUUAAACAUAGGCAGAGAAAUUGUCUAGGAUUUUACUAUUAAAAUAAAUCUAAGCAAAUUGGAGGUAAUUCAGAAGAAAGAAAAGCAGAAAAAAAGUAAAUCCACAUGAACAAAAUUAUUGUUAGGAUUUUGGUUUCUUUGUUUUCAGUUAUUUUUUUUCCUCUGCCAGGACUUUUGUUUUUAUUUUGUUGCUUUCCUUUGUUGAGUGUGUAUGUUGAGGGGGUUCUGUUUAACAUCUGAGAUCCUACAUUCUUCUGCUUAUAAACAUGUGCCUAUGUAACAGCAUAAUCUUCAUGGCCAUCAUUUUGAUAGGGCAUAAUAUUCAAACAUUCACUUUUCUUUGAGAUUGGUAUUUGGGUAGGACCCCUGACUUAAAUUCACACGUCCCAUCCCUAGGAAUAACUGGUCUCCACUAGGGUUUGUUAGAAAUGCUCCUUAUAGCUGGGCGCAGUGGCUCACGCCUAUAAUCCCAGCACACUGGGAGGCCGAGGCAGGCGGAUUACCUGAGGUUGGGAGUUUGAGACCAGCCUGACCAACAUGGAGAAACUCCAUCUCUACUAAAAAUACAAAAUUAACUGGGCCUGGCGGCACAUGCCUGUAAUCCCAGCUACUAGGGAGGCUGAGGCAGGAGAACCACUUGAAUCUGGGAGGCUAAGGUUGCGGUGAGCCGAGAUCGUGCCAUUGCACUCCAGCCUGGGCAACAAGAUUGAAACUCCAUCUCAAAAAGAAAAGAAAAGGAAAGAAAUUCUCCUUAUAUUCCCAAAUCCUCUUUUAACUUCAGGCUUGCUGACCAGAAGUCACUGGGUCUACAACACAUGUACACAGACAGAAGACACAUGUUUAUGCAGCUGCUCGAUGCCCUAACACACUUCCUCAUGGAUAUCACAUGAUGAUAUCCAUCUUUCCCAGGCCAGACCAGAUCAUGAAGGGCUCUUUUGGCCUAUGAUGUACAUGCUUACAGCAAGCUUCUUCAGAAAUGCAGUUGGCUUUGAGUCCUAGAAUCGUACACUGAGCCAUUGUUAUCACAUUGGUACUAGGUGAAAAUAUGUUCAUAUGUUCAGCACUACAAAUAACUGCCAUACAAGUGAAUUUUUGGAAUACAGCUUAUUUAUGAAAUGGUGACUCACAUGGCAAUGCUAUUUUUUUUCUUGGUAAAGGGAACAAUUGUUAAUGGAUAGAAUCAAUUGUGUUCGCCCAUUUAUUUUAUCCAGAUACAAGGCAGCUGGGUUGUCUUGAUGUGGAAAACAAAAUGUCUGGCUUUAGUAACACUCGAAAUAGUUCAUACAAUAGGAUCUGGCAUGCAGGCCUCAAAUCCCAAAUGCACUAUUCAUGUGCAGAAAGCAAUCUAGGUUUCUGGUGGUAUACAAAAACAAAGAUAUGCACCUCAAUUAGCUUCUGAUUUCAAAGAAGAGUGGUACAUGUUAACAACUCACUAUAACAUGAGCCAGCAUGAAGCAGAGUAUCACAAGAGUGGUAGAAGCUUUAAAGAAAGUCCAAAGACAACCCAAGGAAUGGAAGAUAAUUUUUGCAAGUCAUAUAUCUGAUACAAGACUUGUAUAUAGGACAUAUAAAGAACUAUUACAACUCAAUAAUAAAUAGACAAGUAACCCAAUCUAAAAAUAAGCAAAAGAUCUG
rnacentral:lncRNA from 1 species